rnacentral:rRNA from 1 species
GUGGCAAACGGGUGAGUAUAAUGUGGGAAUCUGCCUUUUGGUUCGGAACAACACGGGGAAACUUGUGCUAAUACCGGAUAAGUCUUUACGGAGAAAGCUUUAUGCACCAUUGGAUGAGCCCGCACUUGAUUAGUUUGUUGGUAGGGUAAUGGCCUACCAAGACUAUGAUCAAUAGCUGAUUUGAGAGGAUGAUCAGCCACAUUGGGACUGAGACACGGCCCAAACUCC